UCAAAUUGAACGCUGGCGGCAUGCUUUACACAUGCAAGUCGAACGGUAACAGGGUGCUUGCACCGCUGACGAGUGGCGAACGGGUGAGUAAUGCGUCGGAACGUGCCGAGUAGUGGGGGAUAACGCAGCGAAAGUUGUGCUAAUACCGCAUACGUACUGAGGUAGAAAGUGGGGGACCUUCGGGCCUCACGCUAUUCGAGCGGCCGACGUCUGAUUAGCUAGUAGGUGAGGUAAAGGCUCACCUAGGCGA
rnacentral:rRNA from 1 species